CCUCCGUUGGUGAACCAGCGGAGGGAUCAUUACAGGACUCGCAAGACUCCUACAACCCUGUGAACUUAACUAUAAGCACGUUGCUUCGGCGGGUGUCUCGGAGGGGGUUCUCCCUCCCCGAGACGCUAAACCCGCCGGCAGCCUACUAUACUCUGUCUCUUUGCGUUGGCAUCUCGAGUACAAUCAAACAAGUUAAAACUUUCAACAACGGAUCUCUUGGUUCUG
rnacentral:misc_RNA from 1 species